rnacentral:tRNA from 2 species
AUAAGAUUAAGUUAUUUAGACUACAUGUUUUCAAAACAUGCAGAGGCGAAUUGGCCAUCUUAUG